rnacentral:rRNA from 1 species
AGAGUUUGAUCCUGGCUCAGAAUCAACGCUGGCGGCGCGCUUAACACAUGCAAGUCGCACGAGAAAGCCGGGGCAACCUGGUGAGUAAAGUGGCGUACGGGUGAGUAACACGUGGGUAAUCCACCUUCUAGUGGGGAAUAACCCUGGGAAACCGGGGCUAAUACCGCAUAAGCCUGAGAAGGGAAAGCAGCAAUGCGCUGGAAGAGGAGCCCGCGGCCGAUUAGCUAGUUGGUGGGGUAAUGGCUCACCAAGGCGAUGAUCGGUAGCCGGCCUGAGAGGGCUCACGGCCACACUGGCACUGAAAUACGGGCCAGACUCCUACGGGAGGCAGCAGUGGGGAAUUUUGCACAAUGGAGGAAACUCUGAUGCAGCGACGCCGCGUGAGCGAUGAAGCCCUUCGGGGUGUAAAGCUCUUUCGACGGGAACGAUAAUGACGGUACCCGGAGAAGAAGCUGCGGCUAACUACGUGCCAGCAGCCGCGGUAAUACGUAGGCAGCGAGCGUUGUUCGGAAUUACUGGGCGUAAAGAGUGUGUAGGCGGCGCUUCAAGUUCGGUGUGAAAUCUCCCGGCUUAACUGGGAGGGUGCGCCGAAAACUGGAGUGCUUGAGCAUGGGAGAGGAAAGCGGAAUUCCUGGUGUAGCGGUGAAAUGCGUAGAUAUCAGGAGGAACACCUGCGGUGUAGACAGCUUUCUGGACCAUUGCUGACGCUGAGACACGAAAGCGUGGGUAGCAAACAGGAUUAGAUACCCUGGUAGUCCACGCCCUAAACGAUGCAUACUUGGUGUGGGCCAUUCAGUUGGUCCGUGCCGGAGCUAACGCGUUAAGUAUGCCGC